GCCGUCGUCGACCAGUGGCAGGUCAUUCUCGAGACGUCAUCCCAUCUGACAUCCGGGAACAAUGGGGGUUCGACUCCCCUCGACGGCG